CUCGAGAUUGCCGACCGCCCUAUGUAGACGAUUACGGUUUCCUCGAUAUGAGCCGGUUUUCCCACGGAGAUCACUCUCCGGGGCCGCGAUAUCGUUCACGGCACGAGCUGACGACAGCCAUGCACCACCUGUCAGGGGCCCUUACGGACACCGUAUCUCUACGGCUUUUCCCCUGAUGUCAAGUCCAGGUAAGGUUCUUCGCGUUGCCUCGAAUUAAGCCACAUGCUCCGCCGCUUGUGCGGGCCCCCGUCAAUUCCUUUGAGUUUUAACCUUGCGGCCGUACUCCCCAGGCGGUCGACUUCACGCGUUAGCUUCGUUACUGAGAGUGUCAAACCCCCAACAACCAGUCGACAUCGUUUAGGGCGUGGACUAC
rnacentral:misc_RNA from 1 species